GCCUAGUUAGCUUAGUUGGUAAUGCGUCUGCCUUGUAAGCGCUAGGCCGCGGGUUCGAUUCCCACCCGGGGCG
rnacentral:tRNA from 1 species